rnacentral:piRNA from 1 species
UCAGAGAGGGCCUGGCUACGAUUGGA